CGCACCGGCCGUUUGCGGAUAAGACUGGACACCCCUGAUCUACAAGGAUAAUUCACCAACUUCAGGUGACAGUGAAAUGGACAGAACUGAAGAGUUGCAAGGCAGUUUACCCUCCACAUCAUCAGAAGCUGUGAUGUCUGCCAGCACUGCUCUCAGGAACCGAAGAGUCACAAUCCAUGAAAAGCUGGCUAUUGAAUUUCAUGAACACAAGUUGAAGUAUCUAAAGGAGGAGCAUGAAAUGAAAAUGAAGAUUCUCCAAGUAGAACUAGAAAUGAAGAUGCAAGGUACGAGGCACAUCAGGAUUGUCGUCUUCUAGUAUUGGAGGGUCUGGGCAUCCAUUCUGUUUCAGGGAAUGUGUUGACAGAAGAUGCCAGAAGCACACUCAGCUAAUGGUGCAGAAGUCAGCAAAUGUGAGUUGUUGGGACAAAGGGUGGUCUUGACUGUGCUUCUCCAUUUUCAGCAGAGCAUCUUUUGUCACCUGCUGAG